GCCAGCAGCACAGAGGGUGGCAUUAUCUGCCAUUUCCUACGAUGCUGUAAGAACUCAUAGUAAGCUCUUUACUGCAUUUCUAUCAGUUCAACAGGGCGAGGUUCUUGAUUUGUGAUUUGGAUCCCAAGAACAUCUCUUUGUUGCUGUACAGAAUACAGAGGUUGCAAUUUCCUGCCUUGUAUGAGAAAUUGGCUCUUUGCACCAGGCAGAGGACUUUAUGCGGACAGAACAGGAACAAUUUCUGCCAGCAAUCCAAGCAUAAGAUUGUACAAUCUUACAAAAAAAAAAAUCUGUGACCCUCUCCUCAAAAUUUGCUCAUGGUCUCCCAGAGCAUCAUGACCUAUAGCUUGUAAAUUCCAAUCCUAGCCAACUCUCAACUGUACCAUGUACAAGGAAAAGACGACCUCACCUUCAGAGAAAUAAAGUUUCCAGCCUUUAUAUG